rnacentral:lncRNA from 1 species
UCUUAUUGGUCUGGAAGGUGACGUGUUCAAGAUUUACAAAGUGUAUAAUAUUAUUUGGCAACUCACAUCUAAGGGUCAGGGGUGUUUGUCAAAAGUGAUUAUUGAAUAUGAAAAGCUGAACGAAAAUGUUCCUGUUCCUUAUGUUUACCUGGAUUUUUUGGGUAGGAUCACUAAGGAAAUUGAUGAAGCAAUUUCUAAAGAGUAAUAAUAAAGAUCUAUGGUAAGUUUUAUUAAAUAAGUUGGAUCUUGUCUCGUAUGAUAUAUUAUAUACAAAUUUAAGAGUGAUAUGAAAUAAAGUAAUUAAGUGAGAGUGGUGUGUAUUGUCAAUAUUGUAAUAUUGUUGUAUGUACUAAUAAAUAAAGGGAAAAUUGUAGCUUGCUUAUGUAUUAUUUGGUCUACUUUUACUUGUUUUUUUGGAAAAAUUAUUUUUUCUUUCUUAAAAUAUAACAUGAUUAACGGAUUCAUUUCUCUACCUUCAAAAUUCAAUACUUCAGUUUCUAAAAUUUGAUUCCGUCAAAAUUAGAAAUCUUUUAGUUAAAAAUACCGUUAAUAACAGAAAAAAUAACCAAACUACUAUUUUAAAAACCCAACACUUUAAUCUAUUAAAUUUAAUUUCUGUAAAUUUAUAUGUCACUCUUUUAACAAAAUCAAAUUAAUAGAACUCAUUUACAAAUUAAAACAACAAACUCAAAAUCUCAAACUCAAUUUCUGCAAACAAAUAAAAAUUUCAAUAAAUUCAUGAUUUAAACUCAAUAAAUAUAAUAAAAAUUUAAAUAUAUAAAAUUUAAAUUAUUAAAAAUAAAAAAUUUAAAUUUAAUAAAAGUUACUUUUAUGAUACCAUUCAUUGUUGAUCACUUUUCACCAUUUAAAAAAUAUAUUAAAAUAUCUCUGACAUUUUAAAAAAUAUAUUAGUUAGUUUUUCUGUUAAUUUUAAUCAUUAAGUACUGAUAAAAAAUCUAAAAUACUUCUGAUAUGGAUGGACUAAUUAUUAAAUUUUUUAAUAAUUUGAGGGACCAACUAAUAAAUUUUUUAAAACUAUAAAAACUAAAUAGUAAAAUGCUUAAUGACAAAAUUAAAGAAGGGACUAAUUAAUAAAUUUUUUAAAAUAUUAAGGAUAUUUUAAUAUAUUUUUCAAAAUUAAAAAACUAAUUAGCGAAUUUCUUCAUGAGACUACAUAGUAAUUUUCUUAUUUUAAUAAUUAAUUUAACCAAAAUUUUUUGAUAGAUUUUACUUAUUUUUUUUGAAUCAAAGAUUUUACUUAUUUUUUAAACUUGAAUAAAUUUGAGUGAUAAUAAUAUUUAGUUAUUCUUUUAGAAAAUAUAUAUUUUAAUUCACUAAAAUUGUGUAAUUAAAAAUUUUAUUUCUUCCUUGAAUUGCACAAGUAAGUUAUAUUUUCAAUUCAUUUUUAAUUUUAUUUUCAAUCUACCGAAUGAUAUUAACCUUUUUUAUCCAAUUUUAAUUAUUUUAUGUAUUGCCUUAGUUUCUAAUUACCCAUUUUAAUUUACAUUCUAUAUUAAGAUUCAACUUUUAGGUAAGACACAUGUCUCUAGCAAAAUUUUCAAUUUUUUUAAAAAAAUUUUGAAAAGAGAAUUUUUUUUUAUUGGUACAAACAAAUAACAUUGACUAUGUAUUUUUUUUAAUUCUAAAAUAUAAAUAUUAAGAAUUAAAGGUUAAUAGUUUAUUGACAUUUAAUAUAGCGGCAUUAAAAAAAUUGAAAAUAUGUAAAAGAAUUAUAGAGUAUUUUAAAGAGAAAAGUUCAAUCAACUGCAAAAGUAUAGGAUUAAUUUGAUUGAUUUUUCUUUAUCUUUUAAGUGGUAAAGAGAAACUCUUAGGGAGUAUAGAGAUCUUGAAUUUGCAUAUCACUUUCUUUUUUUUUUUUUUUAAAUAAAUCUCUUAUCUGAAAAUUGAUCGCUAUUAAAAAUAAAUAAUUACUUCUAAUAAUAAAUUAUUAAAUAUUUUAGUGUAUCAUUCCAUUAUACUAAAUUGAUACAUUAAAUUUCUGUUUGAAAUUGAAAAUUUUAUAAAAAUUUAAUUCAAUUGAUUUAAUUUUUAAUAAUGUAUUUUUUUUAAAAUAAAAUUUUAUAUAUUUUUACAAAAAUUUAUUUAAAUUAUUCUUAUAAAAUAAAUCACGCCAAAAACAAAGUGAAUAAGAUUUUUACAACGUUAGUGAAAAUUUUAAAAUUACCCUCUAAAUUCACAUUAUUACAAAAAAUGUCAUAUCUACAUGUAAAUUAAAUUAAAGUUUAUUAAGUUUUAAUUUUUUUUAAUUAUUUAUUGUAACAUUAAUGGAUUAGUUCACUAUCUCAUGGUACUUGAGUAUCUAACAAUUUGCCACCUCCAACAAUGCACUAGCUAUCAAUAAUUAUCUGACCCACUAAAUUUCCAUUGGAAAAAAAAAUCAGAUAUCAGAAAUCAUAAAACAGAAUUUCAAAUUUCAGAUUCAAUAGAAAGAAAAGAAUGCUUCCAUCUUCUUAUUAGAAAACAAAAUUCUUCCAAAUAUGUCAAUUUAGGUUCAUGUAGAACUUUUCUUUAUAACAUCCAUAAAUUACAAAUAUAAAUUCAACACUCAGCCCCAUUUUAACAAUAUAUACUCUCGUGCAAAAUUGAAACAGUGCCUCACAGCCAGUGUUACCAGCCAACUACAUCUAUAUAUACCAUAUAUAUAUAUAUAUAUAUAUAUAUAUAUAUAUAGUCUUUUAUUAUGAUAAAUAAUUACUUAAAAAAAUAAAAAAAUAGAUAAAUUUUAUUAAAUUACUAAAAAAUAAUAAAUAAAAUAAAUUAUUUAUUAUUUACCGGUUAUUUAAAAUAUAAAUAAUAAAAUUACCGACUGUUUACCAAUAAAAAAUUAUAGUUAUAUUUUUACCGUUUUUAUAAUACAUAAAAGUCUUGCAAUUUCACAAAUAGUUGUUGCAAAAUCAAGCAGCUAGGAUCGAGGCACUGUUGAGUGUUUCUUUGAUUUCCAACAAAUAUGACCAAUAUAAAUAUCUAGUAACCGAUCUCCUAAUUCUUCACAGCUACUCCAAUAUGAGUCAUUAAAUCUCGAGCUUAGAAUUAGAAGAAAAGAACAAACCUUGACCAAAAGAGGCUUUGAUAUAUCUCAGUACUCCAUGGAGAGCUUACUCAUGAGUAGUAAAUGAUAAAUCUGGCCUUGUAGUUAUUGCAACUGCCAGUUAUUAAUAGAAUGCCAAAGCCAAUAAAAUUCUAAUUGUUAGUCAUUUUAGCAACCGGUGAUAAUUUGUCAAAAUAAUCCUGUGUAGCCUUUAGCUACAAGUAUAGCCUUGUGCUCUCUAUACAACUGUCUACUUUAUAAUUGAUUCUAUAUACAUUUACAUCCCGAGCAGUUAAAUCAAUAAGUUUCCAUAUUUUAUUUUCUCUAAGGCAGAAAUUCCAAAAGCCAUUGCUUCAUUCCAGACAUCUGAUUUUACUGCUUGUUGGUAAUUCAACGUUGAUUGAAUGGACAAGAUAUAGUGAAAGUAUGAUGUAGAGAGAGAAUUGUAACAUAGAACAGAAGAGAGAAAAUGUGGUGUACCUUUGGAGUAAUGAUUGGUAUUGGCAGUUGAUGAAGCAACAUUACACUGAUAAUCAAGAAGGUCAGUUGGUGUUUUCCUUGUUCUGCUAGAAAAUCUUGUUGGCUGAGAUUGGUUUAGGUUGAAAAAAGAAGGUGGGGAAGGGCCUUGUGGAUUAGAACUAGGAAAAGGAUCUGUAGUCUAUUUCAAAAAUAUUUAAUAUCUGAAUAGGAGGUGAAGAUUGGUGAGUCUGACGAGGAAAGACAUGUUCUUGAAAAAAAUUUCUUUAUUGUGAAGAUCCCUUAAGACAUACCCCUUUGUUCCUUCUUUAUACCUAAGAGAAAGACAAUUUUUUAGCCCUGGAAUCAAAUUUGAUUAUGCCAGCAACUAGAGUAGAGGCAUAACAUAAAGAUUAAAACAUGAUGAAAAAAACAUGAAACGGUGAUUUAUUCUGUUAAUAAGAAAAGUUGCAUGAAGUAUAGAGAAUGAUCAGAAGGAUGUGGGAAGUUUAGAUCGAAAAAGCAAAACUCUUGCUGGUGUUUUCUUUCUGCUAUAACAUUUUGUUGUGGUUUCUCAAUGCAUGUAGUUUAGUGCAAAAUCCACUUUUCACAAAUAUAUGAUAUUUACGACCUAAUUUAUUAUAUUAAUAUAAAAUAUAUGAUAAUAAUAAAUUUAUUUAAAAAAUAUAUGUAUUCUGAAUACAUAGAUAAAAAAGACACUUUUUUUAAAUAAAUAAUACAAAAUAAAAUAUUUACUAAAUUUUUGUAAAUUUCAUAUACAAUCAGUGAUUCCUUGCGCAAAUAUUAAAACAUAAAGAAAAUUUAUCAUUAUUAUUAUUUAAUCGAUUUUAAAAUAUUAAUAUUGAAGAGUUUUUUUUAUCAUAAUUUUAUUUUAUUUUAUUUAUUUUAUCUAUCAUUCCUAACUUAAUAGUUAUUAUAGUGAUAUCCAUCGAAUUUAAUUUGAAUUAAAAAAAAUCUAAAUUCCAAUUUGAAUAUUUUUGAAAUUCUUAUAACUUUAAUUGUUAAAUUGUUAUCCAAAAUUAUUAAAUUUCUUAUGUACGAUGGCUGGACAUGAUUAAAUAUAAAAUUUAUUAUAAUUUUUUUUUACAUAUUUAUCAUUUAUUUAUUGAUAUAUAUUUAAGUAUAUAUAAAAAUUUCUCUAAACACUAUAAAAAAUAUUAAAAAUUAGCAGAAAAAUAUUUGUUAUUAAAAAUAUAAAAUUCAUUGCUAAAAUCUUAUGGCAAUAAUAUAUUACUCUUAUACAAUUGUAAAUAUUUUAUAAUUUUAGCAAUAUUUUUAUUAAUGUAUAUUAUUUUUAUUUUUAUUAAUUUUUAUAUAUUAUUAGUAGCAAUUAUUUAUAUUAAUUUUUAUAAUAAUAAAAUUAAUAUCAUUAUAAAAUUUUUUAUUAUUAAUUCUAAUAUUUAUUAUAAUGAAAAUUAUAUUUUAAAAUAAAAUAUAUAAUCAUGGUGUUUUCAGCAUUUUGGUUUUGGAUUGGGUGUUCGAGAACAGUUAAUAUAAGUUUUUUGAUAAAAUCUUUUGUUCACACAAAAUUAAAUUCAUACUAAAUAAUUGAGGUUCAUUUUUAUUAAUUAUUAGUUUUAAAAUUUAAAAUUUAAUUAAAAGGUGAAUAAUAUUUAAAUAUAAUAAAUCGCAAAUAAUGCACUUCCUUGCAAAACGUACUUUUUUUUUUUUCUCUUUUCCGAUGCACCUCAAGUUCUAGACAAGCUUGUGAGCGAAAGAUUACACAUCACCCGACAAAAAUCUGACAAAUAUUUAAUUAAUGUGUUGCUUUGCAUUUUUUAGUAAAUUAUUAGACACACUUGAUAAGUUAUAUCUUAUCAAGUUGAGAUAUUAUAUCUAACUAAUGAUAAUAAAAUACUUAAAUAAAUUAAAAAAUUAAAAUUUAAUAAACUUAAACAUGUAUUUUGGCAAUUAAUUUUAAAUGAUAUGGUGAUUUGUCAUUCAUUGGGUGCACCACCUUAAUUUGAUAAAGUGAUAAUUCAAUAAUUUCUCUUAAUAAAAUACUCUUUACUUAUAUAAUGGUUAAUAUUUUAAACAUAAUUGGGUGAAAUCUUUAUUUUUAUAUUAAAGAAAUAAAAAAAUUUAAAAAUUUUUAUCAGGUUAGGUAAUUUAUUUUCCCAAUUAUUUUUUUAUAUUUUAGUCGAUGAAUUUUAUUAUUAUUUUUUAUUUUUUAAUAAAAAUUUACUUUUUUUAUUUAAAAUUUUUCUACCGAAAUAAAUUUAAUUAUGGUUAAUAAAAAAUAAAUGAUAAUAAAAAAAUACAUUAUCAUGAGUCGCCAUACAUCUGCAUGUGAAUCAUGGGUAGUUGAAAUCUAACCCUCAAAAAGUUACAAAUUUGCCUGUGUAAAGGAAUUGUUAACCAUAUAUAGUAAUACAGUAAUUUCCGCAUCUAAGUUAGAGAAAACCAUGGCUCUUAAAGGCAACUUGGAAACUGUUGUGGAACUCAAGUCCUGAGAAAUUCCUGAGUUUCUGGAAGGGCCAAGCUCAUCAGGUUCCCAAUCAUUCUCCCACUAAUAUUCAAGGAGUUCAUGUCCACGAAGGUGAUUGUGUGACAUCGGGCUCCAUCAAGAUCUGGAAGUACACUGUAGGUAAGGAUACAUCACCUUUUUUUUUUUUAAUGCGUGUUAUGAGGUUAGUGAAUUCUAACAAAUUAAUGAAAUUAUGCAUAGAGGGAAGAUUUGAAAUUUUCAAAGAGAAGGUCAUAAUAGAUGAUGAGAAGAAAACAUAAACUUUUAUUGGUCUGGAAGGUAAUCUGCUCAAAAUUUAUAAGGUAUUUAAUAUUAGUUGUAUGUUGUUUUUCCAAAAGAUUCAAUAGCCUUUUAAAUUUCUCAAGAAAAUAAUAACGAUAAUGGUGUUUUUUAAAAUUAGAAAUUAAUAAAAAAUAGAAAUAAAAUGAAGAGAAUUGAAGUGUAUAAUCUCACAACUUGGAGGAGGGCAGCAGCAAAGGAGGGAGAGAGGGGAAAAUAUGAUGAUUCAAGUUUAAUUUUAGGAGUUUUUAUAUAGGCAUAAAAAGAUAAAAUUUAAUAAUUUAAAAUAAACUCUAAUAUUCCUAUCAUAUCUCCAUCAUAAUCUGAUUGAGUUUGAUUUAAUUUAAUCCAACUUGAAACUGAUUUUAUCCUUACUUAGAUGGCAAAAUCUGCUGAGGUAGCACUUUAUGAAACUAUCCAUCGCCUUUGACUACAAGUUUGGUUAAGGUUGUAAUCUCCUAGUCUAAAAAUCCAUAUUUCAGCCUCUUUUUAUUUAUUUUUUCAAUUUUUAUUAAAAAAAUCUGUUUAAAAUUAAAUUUUAAAUAAAAUUAAAUAUUUAUGUCAAAAUUAUAGCAAAAUAAUAAAAUUAAAUAAAGAAAAAAUUAUGAGUUUUACAACUCAUCAAAAGCUAAAUAGUUUAGUCACAUUAUACUGGAACAUGAUUCUAAAUCACUCAUGGAUACUUUGCUUGAAAGAGUAAAUCUACAGGAUAUUGCAGGAAUUAUUGAAGAAAUUAAAUCUUUGGCUGCAGGUUUUGUUGGCUGCCGGUUUCAAUUUGUUAAACGAAACUGUAAUAAAUUAGAAUGAUGAUUUUCUUUGUUACCAAUUUAUAUAUGUUUUCUUAUUGCCUUUGGGACUUUAAUACAAUUGGUUUUUAGAAAAAAAAAAAAAAACAUUACAAGAAAUAUUAAAAUUAAUAACAAAAAAUUUUUCUAUUAAAAAUAUAAAAUUUAGUACUAAAAUUUUAUGGCAAUAAUAUAUGAUCAAUACGUGUUAUUACUAUAAAAUUAUAAAUAUUUUACAAUAAAAUUAUAUUUGCUCUUAAAAAAUUAUUAUUGCCAACAAUAAAUAUUAUUAUUAAAAAAUUUAUUAAUAUUUAUAAUUUUUAUUUUUAUCAUAUUUUUUUAUAUAUAAUUAGCAGCAAUUAUUUAUAUUACUAUUAUAUAUUAAUUUUAUAAUAGUAAAAUUGAUGUUGCUAUAAUUUUUUUUACUAAUUCUAAUAUUUAUCGAAGUGAAAAAUCGUUUUUUAAUAAUAAAGGGUACAAUCAUUGAGUUUUUAGCAUCUUUAGCUUUGGAUCAGGUGUUUUAGAACAGCUAACCUGAGUAUCAAUUUGAUUACAUCUUUUGUUUAUAAAAGAAAAAAAAGAAUACAAUUGGUGGGUUAUCAUAUUAAAAUAAUUUUAUUUAUUAAAUUUAUAAUAAAUAAUUGAGGUUUAUUUUUAUUAUAAUUAUUAUUUUUGAUAUUUAAAAUUUAAAAUUUAUUUAAAAGAUGAAUAUUAUUUAAAUAUGAUAAAUCUCAAAUAAUGCACUCCUUUCAAAACACACAAACUUUUUUUUUCUUUCUGGAUGCGCCUCAAGUUCUAGGUAAGAGUGAGAGUGAAAGAUUACACACUUAAUAAAAAUCUCACAAAGAUAUAAUUAAUGUGAUGCUUUGUAUUAAUUAACCUCCCUCUAAUUUUUACCCUGGUUGAUAACGAUAUUUAAUGAUAAUAUUCAAUGUUUAAAUUAAAUAAAAAUAUUAUUUUUUAUUUAAUAACUAUUUUUUUUAUAACGGUGUUUGAUAGUUAAACUAGUGGAUAUUAAAAAAUUAUCCUCUUUAACAUUUAGUAUUUAAUAACUACUAUUUAUAUUCUUUUUUACACUUAGUAUACUUUUAUUUUUUUUAUAAAUUUACAAAUUCAAACUUUAAUAUAUAAACCGUUGUUAUUAUUAAUUUUCACUAUUUUAUAUAUUAUAUUACCGAUCUAUUAUAUUUACAAUAAUAUUAUUGAUUAUUUAUGGCAUGUUAAAAAAUACAAUUAAUUUAUCAGUUUAAAAAUAAUUUUUAUUUUUUAUUAUUAAUUUAUUAAAAAAAUAUUGAUUUAUAUUAAUUUGUGAUUUAUAAAAACACUUGAUAAUAUUCAUUCAUGUUAUUUAUCGUCAUUUUGUAUUUAACACCUAAUCCACUAUUUAUUUUAUAUUAAACACUUCUACUUUAAAUAGCUAUUUAUUUUAUAUGUAGGACUUAAACCUCUUUGUUGUUUUUAUUGAGAUUUUACAACCCUUUAUUUUAAUAAAUUGUUUAUCUUUAUGAAAAAAAUUAUUAGAUGCACAUGGUAUACUAUUUCAUCAUAUUGAGAUAAUACAUUUAACUAGUGAUAAUAAAAAAUUUAAAUAAAUUUAAAGAUUAAAUUUUAAUAAACUUAAAUUUAUUCUUAAACUUCUUUAUUUGUGAUGCACAUGUUAGUGACAAUAUGGGUUUGGCAAGAUAAAUCUAACCUUAAAAACGAUUACAUGUGAAUCAUGUGCGGUUGAAAUCUAACCCUAAAAACGAUUACAAAAUUGCCUAUAUAAUGAAAUCUAAGUUAGAGCAUUUGCAUAUACUAGAAAACCAUGGCUUUCAAAGGCAACUUGGAGACUGUUGUGGAACUCAAGUCAAGUCCUGAGAAAUUCCUGAAUGUAUGGAAGUGUCAAGCUCAUCAGGUUCCCAACCACACUCCCACUAAUAUUCAAGGAGUUCAUGUUCAUGAAGGUGAUUGGGUCAAAUCUGGCUCCAUCAAGAUCUGGAAGUAUACUGUGGGUAAGGAUACAUCAUUUUUUUAAUUUAUUAUAAUAUAUGCAUGUUCUGAUAUCAGUGAAUUUUGAUAAAUUAAUAUUGAACCAUGAUUGAUAAAUUAAUAUUGAACCAUGAACAGAGGGAAAAUCUGAGGUUUUCAAGGAGAAGAUAAUAGUGGACGAUGAGAAGAAAACAGUAACUCUUAUUGGUCUGGAAGGUGACGUGUUCAAGAUUUAUAAAGUGUGUAAUAUUACUUGGCAACUCACAUCUAAGGGUCAGGGGAGUUUGUCAAAAGUGAUUAUUGAAUAUGAGAAACUGAACGAAAAUGUUCCUGUUCCUGGUGUUUACCUGGAUUUUUUGGGUAGGAUCACUAAGGAAAUUGAUGAAGGAAUUUCUAAAGAGUAAUAAUAAAGAUCUAUGAUCAGUUUUAUUAAAUAAGUUGAAUCUUGUCUUGUAUGAUAUAUUAUAUAUAAAUUUAAGAGUGAUAUGAAAU